GUCUAUGGCCAUACCACUCUGAAUGUGCCUGAUCUCCUCUGAUCCUGGAAGCUAAGCAGGGUCAGACCUGGUUAGUACUUGGAUGGGAGGAAGGCUUUGAGUGGAGAGAAAGAUAGACA
rnacentral:rRNA from 1 species